rnacentral:lncRNA from 1 species
GGGGUUGAUUGUUCUCGACUGGAUACACUGGCUCAGUUGCAUCGGAAAGACGCAACCAUGUCUAUUAGGCAUUGGAUGCUACGAAUUAGAAGAUGGAUUGGGCUCAAUAUUUUAGAUAUGAUAAUGAGACAUGUCAUGAUCUUAUCAUCGACUCAUCUUUAUCCUUUCUUUUGGAUUAACACGUUUGACGUUGUUAUAAAAGGA